rfam:Schistosoma curassoni strain Dakar, Senegal genome assembly, scaffold: SCTD_contig0003814
GUCCAGCUGACGAGUCCCAAAUAGGAUGAAACGCUCCUCUUGGAU